AAGAAAGUGGCAGAGUGGUUAUGCGGUUGGCUUGAAACCAUCACAUGGGGGUUCAAUUCCUUCCUUUCUCG
ensembl:Mt_tRNA